rnacentral:rRNA from 1 species
AUUGAACGCUGGCGGCAUGCUUUACACAUGCAAGUCGAACGGUAACAGGGUGCUUGCACCGCUGACGAGUGGCGAACGGGUGAGUAAUGCGUCGGAACGUGCCGAGUAGUGGGGGAUAACGCAGCGAAAGUUGUGCUAAUACCGCAUACGUACUGAGGUAGAAAGUGGGGGACCUUCGGGCCUCACGCUAUUCGAGCGGCCGACGUCUGAUUAGCUAGUAGGUGAGGUAAGAGCUCACCUAGGCGACGAUCAGUAGCGGGUCUGAGAGGAUGAUCCGCCACACUGGGACUGAGACACGGCCCAGACUCCUACGGGAGGCAGCAGUGGGGAAUUUUGGACAAUGGGCGCAAGCCUGAUCCAGCAAUGCCGCGUGCAGGAAGAAGGCCUUCGGGUUGUAAACUGCUUUUGUACGGAACGAAACGGUUCGGGUUAAUACCCUGAGCUAAUGACGGUACCGUAAGAAUAAGCACCGGCUAACUACGUGCCAGCAGCCGCCGUAAUAC